rnacentral:rRNA from 1 species
CAGUAGCCGCGGGAAAACGUAGGGUGCAAGCGUUGUCCGGAAUUAUUGGGCGUAAAGAGCUCGUAGGCGGUUUGUCGCGUCUGCUGUGAAAACGCGAGGCUCAACCUCGCGCCUGCAGUGGGUACGGGCAGACUAGAGUGUGGUAGGGGAGAUUGGAAUUCCUGGUGUAGCGGUGGAAUGCGCAGAUAUCAGGAGGAACACCGAUGGCGAAGGCAGAUCUCUGGGCCAUUACUGACGCUGAGGAGCGAAAGCGUGGGGAGCGAACAGGAUUAGAUACCCCAGUAGUCCCUGUCUCUUAUAC